GGCGGCGAGCGGCGGACGGGUGAGUAAGGCAUCGGAAUCUGCCCUGAUGUGGGGGAGUAACGUAGGGAAACUUACGCUAAUACCGCAUACGACCUACGGGUGAAAGCAGGGGACCGCAAGGCCUUGCGUCGAUGGAGCGGCCGAUGUCGGAUUAGCUAGUUGGUGGGGUAAAGGCUCACCAAGGCGACGAUCCGUAGCUGGUCUGAGAGGACGACCAGCCCACACUGGGACUGAGACACGGCCCAGACUCCUACGGGAGGCAGCAGUGGGGAAUCUUGGACAAUGGGCGCAAGCCUGAUCCAGCAAUGCCGCGUGUGGGAAGAAGGCCUUCGGGUUGUAAACCACUUUUGGCAGGAAAGAAAUCGUCCGUGCUAAUACCAUGGAUGGAUGACGGUACCUGCAGAAUAAGCACCGGCUAACUACGUG
rnacentral:rRNA from 1 species